GUAGUCUUUUAUAACCCACACUCAGAAAUAAGGAUUGAAUCUUUGGAAGAAGAAAUUAUCUCAAAAGGAAUUAAACUUGUGAUUCUUGACUCUGUUGCUUCUGUGGUCAGAAAGGAGUUUGAUGCACAACUUCAAGGCAAUCUCAAAGAAAGAAACAAGUUCUUGGCAAGAGAGGCAUCCUCCUUGAAGUAUUUGGCUGAGGAGUUUUCAAUCCCAGUUAUCUUGACGAAUCAGAUUACAACCCAUCUGAGUGGAGCCCUGGCUUCUCAGGCAGACCUGGUGUCUCCAGCUGAUGAUUUGUCCCUGUCUGAAGGCACUUCUGGAUCCAGCUGUGUGAUAGCCGCACUAGGAAAUACCUGGAGUCACAGUGUGAAUACCCGGCUGAUCCUCCAGUACCUUGAUUCAGAGAGAAGACAGAUUCUUAUUGCCAAGUCCCCUCUGGCUCCCUUCACCUCAUUUGUCUACACCAUCAAGGAGGAAGGCCUGGUUCUUCAAGGAUCUAGAGAAUUCAAAUGAUCUGCUCGAGGCAAACAUAGGAUCAUCUGA
rnacentral:sRNA from 1 species